rnacentral:rRNA from 1 species
AUAUUGCACAAUGGACGAAAGUCUGAUGCAGCAACGCCGCGUGGAGGAUGACGCAUUUCGGUGUGUAAACUCCUUUUAUGAGUCAAGAAAAUGACGGUAGCUCAUGAAUAAGCACCGGCUAACUCCGUGCCAGCAGCCGCGGUAA